UUCAGUGGCUUUGGCGGAGGGGGUACACCCGAUCCCAUUCCGAACUCGGAAGUUAAGCCCUCCAGCGCCGAUGGUACUGCGGUGUAGUCCGUGGGAGAGUAGGACGCUGCUGAAC
rfam:Actinobacteria bacterium 66_15 MPI_scaffold_550, whole genome shotgun sequence.